AUCUUCUGGAAAAGACAUGAAGUUUGAACGGCAUGAUCACAAGUCAUCCUCAGUCUGUGAGGAUGCAUAACAUCUAUCUCUGAUUAGAAACAAUUAGUAAUUAGAACACUGCCUUCUCUUCCAUUUCGAGCCAGUAUUUGCUGGUAGGGGAGGAGCCCCAGGACUGUGGCUGGAUAACCAGGGUGAGUUGUUAACGGAGUGGUCUUGACGGUCUAAACCGGGUCAGCUUUAGUGUCAGGCGCCGGCGAUCUUUCCUGGCCUGAGCCUUCACGAGGUACAGUUAGAGGAGCUGUAGGCUUCCCGUCCCAGCAAAGGACUAGAUGUUGCCACUCGUCAGUCUCGCGUCGGUCCACCAAGAACCGAGUAGGUCCGACGUACCCAUGAGCCCCUUGGACCCGGCCCGCGGGAGUCCCUGCGGCCCGCGGUUUAGCGCUUCCCCCUCGCGCCGAGGAGUUCGUCUCCGCUCGGUGUCCGCCGGGAGGAGCCGGGGAGCGCGGCCGCCCCAGAGCUGCGGCGGGGCCGAGGGGCUGAGGGGGCUGAGGGGCUGAGGGGGCGCCCGGCCCCUGGGGCUCGUACCGCGUCUCCACUCCCUCCCCCGCCAGCGAGCGCUGAGGAACAGUUCCCAGAGUUGUCCGUGGGCGGACUCACAUGACACAUCCUCAAACCCGGUUCCGUUCUGCGCUCUGUUUGCUCCUCGUUCGCGGCUCGGGAACAAGGGCCCUCUCGGCCGUGGUAGCUGAGCGGGAGUCCCGCCCGGUGGCGCCGCUGGACAUCCGGGCUGCCGGCCUUGUGGUGUGCUUGUGCCGCUGUUGAUCCUGCCCAGCCGUGAGACCUCAUCAAGCUAGCUCAGCCCGCGCAGGUGACCUGGAAUCUCGAAUGGUGGGAAGGCCCGUACGUCAGGGGAAUGAUUAUGAAGAAGUCGCUGGCUCUUCACAGCGUUUGGAUGUGAAAAAACACUUACGCACGUUGCUGGAGGAAGUAAUGGCAACAAUGCAAAUUUGCCUGGAAACUCUUUUGAAUCCAGUUUGCCUUUCUGUGAAAUAAAAUUUGGGUUGUGGCA